CCUGCCCAACCUGCCACAACCAGCGGCGGUGGACCCGAGCCAGCCCACAGCCCCGACCUGAGAAACAUCUGUAAAAUGGGACAGCACCAUCACGGCUGCUGGGAGACCACACACCCCAACACCAACCCUGGUUCUUGGAAAUCAAUCCAGGUUGGAGCUUCACAACGAGCAAAGCCAGCAGAGGACAAGCAGGCUGGCUCUGGACCGCACUCACAAAGGUAGCUAAAGCAAGGCGGCCACUGCACCCAGAAGCACAGCCUGGCUACCGCCCCAGGCCAGGCUGGCAGGGCAUGAUGGCCAGGGAAGGAAGGCAGGACGGGCCGGGUACCAUCCCACGCUCCUCUCAAGUCCUGCCUCGGACAGGGAUCCAGACUCCUGCCAAGACCACGACAAGCACGCACCCCUCACACAAGGUACACCUUGCUCCCCUAGGUCCCCUUCGUGGGGCAGAAACCCACGCCUGGAGGAGGAGCCAACCCUUCCAGGUGCCUCAGGAUGGGACACUCGGCUUUCCCGGGGCCGAGGACCACACCCUGGCCUCAAGGCCGAGGCUGAUGCCACUUCCAGCACCCACACUGACACCAUCCACCUGGUACAGGCUCUGGCAAACAGCGCUACUGCAGCGGUCACUGGACGGUCACACAGAGGAGGGCCUGAGAUUCUGUCAGCCGGUUCCAUCUCCACAACCCAGCUGCCCCCACCACCCACAGACAGGCACACAAACACACACAUACACACAGAGAUACGCACACACAUGCACACGCACACAGCCAUACAGACACCACGCACGCAGAGACAUACAGACACCAUGCAUGCACACAGACACACCACACACACGACACCACAUGCACAAAGACAUACAGACACCACGCACACAGACACCACACACGCACACAGACAGACACCAUGCACACAGACACUACACAUGCACACAUACAAACACGCACACAGACAUAAACACCAUACACCUACACAUACAAACAAACAUGCACACAGACAUGCAGACUCCACACACACAUGCAGAGCCACACAGGGGCUCAAUGACCGCUUCCGCCCUGGGUGAGAACACGGGCUUCAGCCUUCCCCUUCUGGACAACACACACCAAACCCCAACAGGGCCACAAACAGGAACAGCAGCGCAGGCUGAGCACUGUCCACUCCCACAACAAAGCAGCAGAGACGCAGCGUGGCCCCAGCCCCAAGAAGGAUGGUGCCCUCGGCCAGGACAGGAGGACAAACACAUAGCACUGGAGCAGAGUGGGGG
rnacentral:lncRNA from 1 species